GCGUGGACCCUGGACUUGUGCUCCUAUGUCAUUUAUCCCAGCUGUUCCCGGUUUCCCCUUCUGAGCCAGGUAUCUUGGCCUCCUCGGUGGCCACAGCUUUCUGCUAAGCCUCGGUCUUCUUCCCGGCAGGAGAGACCUUUGACCCAUGUGCGUCCUGAUCCGUGGCCAGGAGCGUACCCAGUACGGCGGUGCGCCACUCGGGAGGCCUGACCCAGAUAUCAGUGCUCCAUGGGAAUGCUGCAAAGACCCGGGGCUCUGAAAAGAUGGCCAUGCUAAUUCCUCUGUUGGUGUUUACCCAAGACAUGAAGACCAGAACAGGAAGAGACACUCGUGGGCUAUUCAUAAUCAACCAACUCAAUCCGUGAAUGGCAAAGUUGAUGGUGAUAAUUUUCCCUCAGAAACUGUCCCUCAGAAUGAAAAGUAGCCCAUGAUGAAUGUGGCCCUCUAAGCACAUCUCAGAAGCACAAUGCCAAGGGAAAGAAACUCCUUAAAUGACAUCGUGGGGUUGGCAGGAGAAUAGAAACAGAAAUCAGACCCGUGGUUGUCAGAGAUGGAAACACAGAAUGGGAUUUGUUUGCAAAGCGUCUCAAAGAACUUUGUGGAAAGAACAGCCAUGGUCUAAGCUGUAAUACUGGUCAAAGCUUGUUUCAUGGUACUCAAAGAAGAUGAACUUAAGGAUUUAAAUACUUCUCAGUAAGCUUGAGUUAAAAGGGGUGUGAAGUCCUCAAAUAAUUAAACAUAGACUUGGAUGAUUCAGCCCACUUCUAGGCACAUAACAGAGAGGAUGGAAAGCAGGUCUGUAUGCCAAAUGCGCAUGACACAGUUCUCACGGGCACUAAAAGGUUGGGCCCAGCCCAGAAGGCACCAAUCAACAGGUGCAUGGAUACAGCAAAUGUGACAGGUACUGCCUUUUUCAAGUAAUGGGACNACUCAUACACAAAAUAAACAAAUCUUCAAAAAAAUGUGAAGACACAAUACCCUGGGACUAGGUGUGAUUGUCCUUGUCCCAAGCUCCUCCCAUCCAAAGGACCACCCUACUUGUCUCUUCAGGUUGCCCCACCCGUCUCCUUUUAGCCAGACCUCCUUUUAGCCAGACCGAUGAUUCUGGUUUUCUACCAUUAUAAUCAGCAUUCUCUGUCUGAUAGGAAUCUUCUAGAGAAGGGAGGCUUAGAGCAUGCACAUGCACACACACACACACACACACACACACACACACGAGUUUAUUCUAGAGAAUUGGUUCAUAGAGCCAUGGAGGCUAACAUGUCCCAUAUUCUGCAAUUCUCUGGCUGGAAACCCAGGAGAGAUAAAUGGUGUAAUUCUAGUUGGAAGCUAGCAGACCUGAGACCCAGUGUUUCUCUUUGACUCCAAACGGAGAAGAGAAGCCAUUGUGAAGACCACAAGGCAGAAGGAGCACCUUCUUGCUCUUGGAAGUAUCACUCUUCAUUGUCUGUUGAAGACUUCUGGACUGACUGGAGGAGGCCGGUCCUCACUUAGGAGGUCUUUUUCCUUCAAUCACUCUACCAACUUAAAUAUUGAUCUCACCCAGAACAUCUCACAUGCAAAUCCAGAAUCAGUCCACUUAAGCUGACACAUAAACUUGUUGUGUUGGGUAAUUUUAUGUCAACUUGACACAAGCUAGAAAUAUCUGAGAAGCAACCACAAUUGAGGAAAUGCCUCCAUAGAUUGGCCUGUAGGUAAGUCUGUGGGGGCAUUGUCUCAAUUAAUGAUUGACGUAGGAGUGGGCAGCCUACAGGGAUGCUGCUACCCCUGGGCAAGUGAUCCCCAGUCGUAUAAGAAAGUAGGCCAAGAGAGCUGGCUAGCAAACGGAUUAAUGUUCACAUGGCUUCUGCUCCCGUUCCUGCCUCCAAGUUCCUGCCCUGGCUUCCUUCAGUGAUGGACUUAUACACUCUAAGGUGAAAUAAACUCUUUCCUUCUC
ensembl:lincRNA 1700112J16Rik RIKEN cDNA 1700112J16 gene